UACGAAGGGGGCUAGCGUUGCUCGGAAUCACUGGGCGUAAAGGGUGCGUAGGCGGGUCUUUAAGUCAGGGGUGAAAUCCUGGAGCUCAACUCCAGAACUGCCUUUGAUACUGAGGAUCUUGAGUACGGGAGAGGUGAGUGGAACUGCGAGUGUAGAGGUGAAAUGCGUAGAUAUUCGCAAGAACACCAGUGGCGAAGGCGGCUCACUGGCCCGGUACUGACGCUGAGGCACGAAAGCGUGGGGAGCAAACAGG
rnacentral:rRNA from 1 species